GACGAACGCUGGCGGCGUGCCUAAUACAUGCAAGUAGGACGCAGUUGCGAACGGGUGAGUAACGCGUAGGUAACUGCCUAUUAGAGGGGGAUAACUAUUGGAAACGAUAGCUAAUACCGCAUACUAGUAGAUGGACCUGCGUUGUAUUAGAUAGUAGGUAGGGUAAUGGCCUACCUAGUAGACGAUACAUAGUCGACCGUCGAGGGUGAUCUGCCAGUCUGGGACGGAUACACGGCCCAGACUCCUGCGGGAGGCGGCAGUAGGGAAUCUUCGGAAAUGGGGGGAACCCUGACCGAGCAACGACGCGUGAGUGAAGAAGGUUUUCGGAUCGUAAAACUCUGUUGUUAUAGAAGCGGUAUCUAACCAGAAAGCCACGGCUAACUACGUGCCAGCAGCCGCGGUAAUAC
rnacentral:rRNA from 1 species